CGCUGAGACCAGUAAACGUGCUCAGAACACUCCCACUGAGCACGAGUGCAGCCCCCAGAAGAGAAUGAAGCAGUGUGACGCUCCAGAGCAAAGAGAAGAGACGCCCACAUCCAGCUGUACGAUCCUGUGAUGGAUUUCUUCUUGUUUGGACCAAAUCGGAUGCAGUGUGAGAUCAGCGUGGAGGCUGCAGGAGUUGAUGUUAAACGUCAGACUGACCUUUGUUACGCUUUGCUUUUCACACGUAUAUCUUAGCUACUAACAACUGUUUUUAACACCAAAUCAGGAGAGGAUUGUUACUAACAGCAGCUGAGCUCUGAAGAAUGUUUAGCUGUGAGCUCCUGGUGCUGAUCUGCAGCAGUGAAUUAUCUCCUCACAGUAAUGUGCAAUUAUGAGUUCAUUCGUGCAAUUCUUUUUCUGUUUUAUAAGAAGAUACAGGGAAGCAGUAUGACACCUUUUCUGUAAAGCUUUUCUCUUCAGUAUCCAGUAACAUAUCGGAUGCAUUUGCAGCCCUGAUACUGUUCAGUCAGCUCUUUAAAAGAAGGAAUGAUUCUGGUCUUCAUCUGCUUCCACUGACUGAAGGAAACAGAAUCUAUUGAUGCCAGAUCAAAGUGCUAAUCAUGUAUAAAACUCCAAAGUGUCCAAUGUUGAAUGUGAGUAUGUUGUUAACAGCAUGAAACAAACUAUGUUUUAUCACACAAUAUAAAAUAGUUCAUGGUAUAAAUAAGUCGAGAGGGAAGCUACUGAAAAACAUGUUUUGAUUUUUAAAUGAGACAGGUUGAAUAUGAAGAUGUGUUUUAUACGUUUUUAUUGAAUUGUUUUCUGUGACCUUGUUGUCCAGCUUGUUGUUUGCCCGCCCGUCACCUUUCAGCCAAUCAGUGAUGUUGUUGGACUAACAUGUCAUUAUAAUGACGUCGGUGUUGAGUUAUUUUAUAAUUCGUUGAUUCAUUUAUGCAUUUUAUUUACAUGAUUAUUUGUUUGACAAUUAAUACUGAUGAUAUUUACCCAAAUUGGAGCCAUAGAUCUGAUUCUGUCUGUCUGCAAACUGUUCAUGGCUUUAGGGUUAAACUCCUCAUCACAAGCUUACAGCGUCUGUGUUGACUGAUGGCCUGAUUGCCAGAUAUAUAGUAGUUCUUUCAAGCUUUCACAUGUGAGACACUUCGUAGUGAUGACUGAGCUGCAGUGAAUUCUACAGAAGACGAUCUGUGUUCAUUGGAGGGUUUUAUGAAUUAAGUGCAUCCAGGUCAGAAAACCUGGUUCUGACGUUUUAUAUGUUCACUGUCUUGUGUUUGCUGUUUUACAUCAUACCGGCACUCCUUCAGUGUUCUUUUUAAUCAUAUCCUUUAUUAACAAAUCAACACAUAUUAGCCUCUCUAUUAUAUAUUUUAUGAGCACUAUUAUGCAUUCUUAAGCUUCCUGUGUUUUAUAUCCUAUUUUUACAGUGACACAUACCUUUCACUGUGAUGACGCUGUUAUGGUGGUUACAGAUUAUUAAUGGUGGUGGAAAUGACAAAUGCCAAAUAAAACUCUAGAAGAAA